rnacentral:rRNA from 1 species
UACGUAGGGUGCAAGCGUUAAUCGGAAUUACUGGGCGUAAAGCGUGCGCAGGCGGUUCGCUAAGACAGAUGUGAAAUCCCCGGGCUAACCUGGGAACUGCAUUUGUGACUGGCGGCUAGAGUAUGGCAGAGGGGGGUAGAAUUCCACGUGUAGCAGUGAAAUGCGUAGAGAUGUGGAGGAAUACCGAUGGCGAAGGCAGCCCCUGGCCAAUACUGACGCUCAUGCACGAAAGCGUGGGGAGCAAACAGG